rnacentral:lncRNA from 1 species
AUCAUGUGGUGAGCCAGGAAGCCAGAGCAAUUCAUAGGUCAAGUUCACUCUUUUUAUAACAAUCCAUUCUCAUGGGAACUAAUUUUAUGAGACUGGCUUUAAUCCCUUCAGAAGGCAGGACACCCAACUUCCACUAGGACCCACCUCUCAAAGAUUUUGCCACUCUUAACAAUUCUAUGUUGGGUACCAGUCUUACAGCACAUGAACUCUUGGGGGACAAACCAUACUCAAAUUAAGACAACCUAAAUGCAAGUCUACUUGCAAUGUCAUUAACAUUUGAUAGUCAGGACAACAAAAUCCAAUAGAGGAAGAUUUUUCUUUAGUCCAUCAAUAAUAUACAAGGCCUCCAGAAGAAUGGCCUACAGCAAUGGAACUGGAUGAGCACAGACUGAAACCUCUGAGGCUGGAAAAUAUCCAGGGUGGUUCUUGUCCAAAGAAGAAGAAAAAGGGAACAGAUAUCAACCAAGCCAAGAUCUCCAGCCAAGUCUAGCUGGAUUUCUGCCUGAGAAGACCAACUACACUGACCCAGAGACUUCCGAGUAAGGAAGAUAAAUGGGCAACAGAGCUGUGGCUUCGAGUGCACUGCUUGUAUUGACCUUGAAGAAUUACUUGAGUCACCUUUCAUCAGAUAAACGGAGAGCUAUAAUUUGUCUCUUAACAAGACUGCCAAUAGAGCAUCUGUGAGAUUUCUACAGACUCCAAGGUUUCCCAUCAUUUUUUGUCGUGGCAGGCAACCCUUCUCUGAACUCUGGCUACAGUGAUCUCUGUUUUAGUAGGUCAUCAACUGUGCUCGUAGCCUUUUUAUUCUACCUUUAUGACCAUCUCAGAAAGGCCCCAUGUGUUGCUUUCACAAUCACAUAUCUGUGUUACAUUUGGGUCUGCAGGUCAAAUUUAAUAUAUGUUCAAUAAAUCCAUGCUUGCUAUGAACUUUGCUGUUUUCAUUCGGAAGAUGAUGAUAAUAUUAAUUUUUAUGAGGGUCGUGAGGAUUGAAUGGCCUGCAAUCAUGAAGCACUAGCACACUGGUGCUUAGUGUCACUUUGAGUGCCCUCUACCCACCCUGUACAUAUCCAGUAGGUUCUCUCAGGACAGAAACAAAAGUACCAGGCUAUCACUUUAUGCUCCCUUGGUAUUUAUGGGUGGGAGGCAAUUCUCAAAGUUAAUCAAACUGAG